GAUUUGUUUGGUUUACUUCGGAUCAGCGCUAUUCUUGUCCAAAUCCUUAUUAUUUGAAUCUGUUUCCUUUGGAGAUUUUAUUCUCGGGACCGAAGAUUUGGAUGGAUCUGUUUUGAAAAUAGCCAGGUCGAGCAUGCCUGGAUUAUAAUAACUUUUCAACAGACGUCUAAAUUGAAUCCGCCGUCCGGCUCUUCUUGUUCUUUUCGGCAUGAGAGAUUUUUAGCACAAUACUCUCAAAGUAAGGAAGAGAAGAACUGUGCUCGUGGUUCAAGCACUGCGUUCUGAUAAAAAGGGAGGAAUGGUGCUCGUGGUUCAAGCACAACACUCUUAAGGUAAAGAAAAGAAGAACGGUGCUCGUGGUUCAGGCACGGCGUUCUGGAAAAAGAUUGAAGAUGAUAAGAGGGAAGAGAGGCUCAAGACCCUUUGGCAAUCGGCUAACAAGAGGCUCAACGCAAGAUUGUCUGAUGGCUAAUUGGAGGCUAACAAGAGACUGCUUAAAGACUGACGAGAGACUGCUUAGAGACUGCCGAGAGACUGCAUGCGCGCGAAGGGCCGAGCCCUUUUUAUACCCAAGCCCGACAUUAUGGAUAUCAAUUGA